rnacentral:lncRNA from 1 species
GUUGUUGUUGGUUACAAGGUGUGCACGAGCAUGCGUGCUAUCCUGUCCCCGUAAGUACCAGUGGCCCGGGCCGGUGGGCCCUUAUAACGCCGGGAAACAUUGCGCAACGAACUUAGGCGUGUUCGACUGUACUACUCAAUGCCAACUACGUCAACUGCUAGCCCGUCAGCCUAGGUGAUUAGGUGCCUUGGCACCGAAUGCCCGCCCCUCCCUUCCAUCGGGGCUUCAGCCCUGCUGCUCGAAACCCUUCGAAAGCUCCGAGUUGCUCCUUGCGCAGUGCACACCCUACGGACGUCAGGUAAGGCGCCACCACCACACCUGUGCUGCGGACCAGGCGUGCGGCCCUGAUCAAUGCGCUGCGUUCCUGGGGCGUCACCAUCACCACGACGUUCCACACCUCCCGCCCUGCCGAUUGCCACGCACGGACAUAGCGUCCGCUCACCGACGUCCCACUCGUGCUAGCAACCGCCUCUAGGUUCCCGGACGCCCGGAUGCGCUCUAGCAGCUCGCCGCUGACAGACUUCAGCAGGAUCUUGCUCUCGUCCACAGCGGCCGCAUCCCCCACGCGGGCAAGGGAGCGUUUGACGGCUUCCAGCGCAGCCCGUUGCUCCUCCACCUGUACCCGCAGCACUGCGAGGUCGUGGGGCCGCCGCUCCGCCGCAGGUGCGCGGUCUGUGCCUCGUUGGCCGAGGCGUGUGGCACCGGCACGAUUGUGGCACCGGCACCGGCACGAUUAUACCAGUUUUAUGCCUACGCAUUAGUUCCGCAACAC